ACACACAAAGUUUCGUCGUAGGAUAGUUGGUCGCUGUGCUGAAAAUCUUCCAGAACCUGUUCCUGACCUACGCUCCUAAGCACAGAUCUAGGAUCAGCUCAUCCUCAUCAAAUCCAAACCAGGACCUUAUUAAACCACAAGGGGAACACUAACCUCAGACCAGCGUUUAAACCCCAUGUCUUCCUGCCAAGACACUGACACUCCUUCCAGAAUUCCUCUGCGCUCCAGCCGUCCAUCCAUCCAUCCAUCCAUCCAGCCGUCCAUCCAUCCAUCCAUCCACACCCCAGCCAGCCAGCCAUGGGUCUGAUGGGCGAGGACAUGGAGUGCUGCGUCUGCCUCCAGCCCUACUCUCGCAGGGAGAAGAUCCCUCGGAUGCUCCACUGUAAGCACACAUUCUGUGGGCUGUGCUUGCAGGCGAUGUCCAGGCUCCAAAGCGGCCUACUGACAGUCUGCUGCCCCCUGUGCCGUUGGAUCACCUGCACCAAGCCCAGCCUCACCCUGCCGGGGUCGCUGUGGAUUAACACUGAGAUCUGGGACCAGAUACUAAACAGACAACAGGAAGAGGAGGAGGAGGAAGAGUGGAAGGGAGCUAACAGACAGACACAGACCACCACACAGUACAGAUGUUCUCCAUCAAGGCAUUGUGGCCUGAGGCUCAAACUACAGAAUUUCCUGAGGAGGAUGAAGCACAAUGUACUGUAAACCGAGAAUACGAAGAGCAGAGAAAAAGAAGCCUGGAUUUUCCCAUUUCAGAGCAGGAGAUACUCAUUGAGUAAUGAAGCUAAUUCACAAAACAGGACCGACCGGUGAUUUUCCAUAAUGAAGCAAGAUUGAACCAAUUAUUCAUAUGCUUUGUGUUUGAUUGACUUUGGGAAUGUGUAAUGUUCUCAGUCGACUUACCUGGUAAAAUAAGGGUUAAAUUAUAAUAUUAAUAAUAAAGGAUGGAUAGGUGGAGGAAAUAAAAAAUAAGAUAUUAAAUGGAUUGAGGAAGAAAGAAAGAUAAAGGUAAAGUUAUGAAUAGAUGGACGGACGUAAGGACGGACAGACAGACAGACAGACAGACAGACAGACAGACAGACAGACAGACAGACAGACAGACAGACAGACAGACAGACAGACAGACAGAUAGAUGGGUUAAGGUUAGAGACUGUGUGCUGUACAAUGUGUGUCUGUAUACAAUAUGCUGUGAACAAUGUUUAUAAUAGAUGUUUAAUGAUUUGAUAAAAGGGUGUAUCACUCUCUGUCUAAUCAUGUCUCAGAGAACCCUGUAUGAAUUCUUGCAUAUGAGAUUCCAUAAAAACAUCACUUUGACAAAGAUACGACCAAAAUUGACUUUUUCGGAGGAGGUUAGGAGAAUUUAUGCAGCAUGUUCGGGGAAUGAUUCUGUGAUUAAUUUCCUGCUGUGAGUUAUUGUUUUAUUUAACGAUGCAAGUCAGUUCAGAACAAAUUAUGAUUUUCAAUGAUGGUCUAGGAACAGUGGGUUAACUGCCUUGUUCAGGAGCAGAAUGACAGAUUUUUACCUUGUCAGCUCGGGGAUACAAUCUUGCAACCUUUCGGUUACUAGUCCAAUGCUCUAAACACUAGAAUACACUGCCGCCCUGUCACGGCUUUCUUCCUGGGAACGAGAGGCUAUAUGGCUGCCUAAAUAUGGCUCCCAAUCAGAGACAACGAAAAACACCUGCCUCGGACUGAGAACCAAUCUAGGCAACCAUAGACUUACCUAGACACCUAAACUGAACAGAACCCCAUAAAUCUACAAAAACCCCUAGACAAGCGUUUAUUUGACAAGGGCCAAGCUAGUACAGUAUAGAGAAUAGUACUUUUGACAAGGGCCAAGCUAGUACAAUAUAUAGAAUAGUACUUUAGACCAGGGCCAAGCUAGUACAGUAUAUAGUAUAGUACUUUAGAUCAGGGACCGGCUACUACAGUAUAUGGUAUAGUACUUUAGACCAGGGCCAAGCUAGUACAGUAUAUAGUAUACUACUUUAGACCAGGGCCCGGCUAGUACAGUAUAUAGUAUUCUACUUUAGACCAGGGCCCAGCUAGUGCAGUGUAUAGUAUACUACUUUAGACCAGGGCCCGGCUAGUACAGUAUAUAGUAUUCUACUUUAGACCAGGGCCCAGCUAGUGCAGUGUAUAGUAUACUACUUUAGACCAGGGCCCGGCUAGUGCAGUAUAUAGUAUACUACUUUAGACCAGGGCCCAGCUAGUGCAGUAUAUAGUAUACUACUUUAGACCAGGGCCCGGCUAGUACAGUAUAUAGUAUACUACUUUAGACCAGGGCCCAGCUAGUGCAGUAUAUAGUAAACUACUUUAGACCAGGGCCCAGCUAGUGCAGUAUAUAGUAAACUACUUUAGACCAGGGCCCAGCUAGUGCAGCAUACUGUACAGGGAUGCCAUUUCAGACAGAUGGUGAUAUGAGUUGACACGUCUUGGGUUGUGUUCGUUGCCAGUCAGUCAACCCAUGAGCCAAUCAGUUCAGUGAGUUUUCCUUACUGUGCUGAGGCAGGGAUUUAGAGACCAAUAUGUUUAGAUAUCCACUUAGCUGACCAGUAUAGCAACAACGCAACAGUCUAUACAGACCUUAAUGAGGAGACAGCAGUCUAUAUAGGCCCUAGUGAGGAGACAACAGUCUAUAUAGACCUUAAUGAGGAGACAACAGUCUAUAUAGGCCCUAGUGAGGAGACAACAGUCUAUAUAGACCCUAGUGAGGAGACAACAGUCUAUAUAGACCCUAGUGAGGAGACAACAGUCUAUCUAGACCAUAGUGAGGAGACAACAGUCCUAUAUAGGCCCGAAUGAGGAGACAACAGUCUAUAUAGGCCCUAGUGAGGAGACAGCAGUCUAUAUAGGCCCUAGUGAGGAGACAACAGUCUAUAUAGGCCCUAGUGAGGAGACAGCAGUCUAUAUAGGCCCGAAUGAGGAGACAACAGUCUAUAGAGUGCAUUCAGAAAUUAUUCAGACCAAUUGACUUUUUCCACAUUUUGUUACAUUACAGCCUUGUCCUAAAAUGGAUUAAAUAUAAUAUGCUCACCCAUCUACACACAAUUCUCCAUAAUGACAAAGCAAAAUCAGGAUUUAUGAAUUUUUUUUGCAAAUGUAUUACAAAUAAA